UUAUUUUCGAAAGUCUAUCAGAAUUAUCUCAAUUUUAAAGUGAGUCAUAUGGGUAGUCUCUUGCAUUUUAGAGUUAGUUGUGAUUUCUUAAGACUCUUUGACAUUCUGGUUUGAUGAGACAUAUAAUACCCAGUUGAUUGUGUUAUCUGGAAGGUCUGAUGAUUUUCCUUCAAGUUUUAAUUAGUCUAUGUUGCACAAAGUUGGGUGUUUUAGUUCAUUAUGGACAAAUUGGUGUUAAAUUAGUUAACAACGAAUAGGUUAUUAUUAGAAUAUCAAAUAUUUGACCAAUUUGCUGCUUUGAGUUGUUUUAUUUUGCAAGUAUCGACUCCUACUUGUUUGCUUCACUUGUGCUAAUUAUUUCAUUCAUCUUCUUUGCAUGAACUCUCCCAUUUGAGUCCACUCGGACUUUCAUUCCCUUGCAUUCUCCUCUCUCCGAGUCGACUUCAUUUAAACCGAUUGAAAGGGAAGCUAAUAUCAUUGGGUUAAAACCCAAGAAGUACCAACAGAUCAGUGGCAACAGCCCAAAAUCCAGCAGCAACAGCAGCUCAAAAGAGCUGAAAUGAAAGUGCUUUCAGUUCAAAUUACCCGAAAUUUGGACACCUGAAAUGGGGGCGGAGUCGCAGCGACUUCAAAGGGCUGAAACUUGCAUUUUUCAGACUUUAAAAAGUUCAAAAAUUGCGCCAGCAGCAGCAACUAACAAGCCGCAAGUGGACUUAAAGUUGUCCAAAUCCUAUUUGCACUUUUGUUUCCCUUAUAUCGUGAUUUUGUGAUACUUGCUCUUAAUUUCUAACAUUUAUUUUAUCAACUUAGAUGAAUCCUUGGGGUGAUGUUUAUUCAAAUUUUCAAAUUUCGAAACUCAUUUUAAGUUAGCUAAUUUAAGCUUUAUAGAAUGACUUGAGAACCUUUUAUGUUCUUUCAUAGUUAUUGAAAAGCUUUGAAUCCAUGUUUAUGAGUUUUGAAUUAACUAUUUAGUUCAAAUU
rnacentral:lncRNA from 1 species